rnacentral:rRNA from 1 species
GACGAACGCUGGCGGCGUGCCUAACACAUGCAAGUCGAGCGGGGACAUUGCGACGGAAAUGAAGAUUUCGGUUGGAUUUGAAGAUGCAAUGUUCUAGCGGCGGACGGGUGAGUAACGCGUGAGCAACCUGUCCCUUACAGGGGGAUAACACAGCGAAAGUUGUACUAAUACCGCAUAAGACCACAGAGCGACAUCGCUCAGGGGUCAAAGGAGCAAUCCGGUAAGGGGUGGGCUCGCGUCCGAUUAGAUAGUUGGUGAGGUAACGGCCCACCAAGUCGACGAUCGGUAGCCGACCUGAGAGGGUGAUCGGCCACAUUGGGACUGAGACACGGCCCAAACUCCUACGGGAGGCAGCAGUGGGGAAUAUUGGGCAAUGGGGGAAACCCUGACCCAGCAACGCCGCGUGAGGGAAGAAGGUUUUCGGAUCGUAAACCUCUGUCCUUGGUGAAGAGAAGAGACG